AUCCAGCUGACUAGUCUCAAAUAGGACGAAACGCGCGUCCUGGAU
rfam:Schistosoma curassoni strain Dakar, Senegal genome assembly, scaffold: SCTD_contig0009725